rnacentral:rRNA from 1 species
UACGAAGGGGGCUAGCGUUGUUCGGAAUCACUGGGCGUAAAGCGCACGUAGGCGGAUUUUUAAGUCAGGGGUGAAAUCCCGGGGCUCAACCUCGGAACUGCCUUUGAUACUGGAGAUCUUGAGUCCGGAAGAGGUAAGUGGAACUGCGAGUGUAGAGGUGAAAUUCGUAGAUAUUCGCAAGAACACCAGUGGCGAAGGCGGCUUACUGGUCCGGAACUGGACGCUGAGGUGCGAAAGCGUGGGAGCGAACCGGAUU